GAGUUUGAUCCUGGCUCAGAUUGAACGCUGGCGGCAGGCCUAACACAUGCAAGUCGAACGGUAACAGGAAACAGCUUGCUGUUUCGCUGACGAGUGGCGGACGGGUGAGUAAUGUCUGGGAAACUGCCUGAUGGAGGGGGAUAACUACUGGAAACGGUAGCUAAUACCGCAUAACGUCGCAAGACCAAAGAGGGGGACCUUCGGGCCUCUUGCCAUCGGAUGUGCCCAGAUGGGAUUAGCUAGUAGGUGGGGUAACGGCUCACCUAGGCGACGAUCCCUAGCUGGUCUGAGAGGAUGACCAGCCACACUGGAACUGAGACACGGUCCAGACUCCUACGGGAGGCAGCAGUGGGAAUAUUGCACAAUGGGCGCAAGCCUGAUGCAGCCAUGCCGCGUGUAUGAAGAGGCCUUGGUGUAAGUACUUCGUAGCGGGAGGGAGGAGGUAAGUUAAGUAACUUUCGUACGUCUAUCGUACGUUACCCGUACCGAGAACG
rnacentral:rRNA from 1 species